rnacentral:misc_RNA from 1 species
AAGUCGUAACAAGGUUUCCGUAGGUGAACCUGCGGAAGGAUCAUUACAGAGUUCGUGCCCUUCGGGGUAGACCUCCCACCCUGUGUAUACCGUGCCUUUGUUGCUUUGGCGGGCCGCCUUAUGGCCACCGGCUGCGGUCGGUGCGCGCCUGCCAGAGAACCCAAACCCUGUAUUAUUGUGUUGUCCGAGCACUAUAUAAUAGUUAAAACUUUCAACAACGGAUCUCUUGGUUCUG